UUAGUUAAAACGGAUUGUAUGGGGUGCGGCUGGUAGUAUGUGUCUCGCCUCCUCUGAUUCACCCUGUUGCACCUCUUUUCCAUCCUCUGAUUCACUCUACUGUGAAGUAGGUGCCUCGCCUCCUCGCACUCAACAAGAGCCAAGAAGAGAUGCUGAAACAAAUUCAAGAGGAUCGAGAUGUGCUUAUGUUCUACCAUUUUGCUUUCAAGAGGGGAAGAUAAAGAGGAGGCAUGGUGAAGAGGAGAAGUGGAAGAAGGCCAUCAACUAUGCACCUACCGGCUCUUCCUCGCCUGGGUACUAACGUGCAUGCAUUUCCUGAUAAGCGAAAGAGGGAGGCAUGAUGGGCAAUAUAGCGCAGUGGAUGUCACUUUAUAAUAAGUUGGAUUUGUGGACUAAUAUCUUGUGAUGUGGCUUUCUUGUAUCCCAUUUGCCCUGCUGCUCCUGAAAGAUAUACCAUUUUGUUGGUGUUUACUGGUUAAUCCUUUUGCAUAUUUUUAUGGAUGGAUACUCGAUGUGCUCGGUUCAUACCGUUGCUGAUACUUGCCUUCUCUUGCUGAUUUCCCAAAUCAUGCACAUAGCUUUUUUAGUAUGGGUUAGGCAAUAUCCCUUUGUAAAAAAAAUAUGCAUGUCACCUUUUGUAUGAGUAAAAUAUUCAUCAGCAUUGUAGUGGACAUAUGCUCUUUGUACUAAAUUUGAUGUUUUCUACUGAACCAUAUUUAGCUUGUAAUGGAUUUCGAUUCUUUGUACGAGACUAAUGCUUCCCUGAGAAAUAGCAGAUGUUGGAUCAUUGCCUUAGACAGUCUUCCUCAUGUGUCUUUGAGAAAUCUUUUUUUGUACCACCUUCAUUGCAAUUCCUCAUGUGUCUUUGAGAAAUCCUAAUGCUGAAUCAGUGGCUCAAUUUUUCCUUUUGUAUCUAUUUGGCGCCGCUCUACCUACAUCUUUUUUUGUACCACCUUCAUUGCAAUUACGAGUACAACGUUUGGUCGGACAUAAGGUUGGACUGCUUUGAGUUGUUUACAUGGCUCGCUUUGAGUAAUUUUAAUUUUGAUGAAAAUGCAUGUUGGAUUGUUACAUGGUGAUGUUGUUCUUGCAUCUUUGAUUUGAUACCUUUAUUACCAAGUUGGAUACGACCGCACCCGGCAGGGGUGCGGGGGUGCG